UAAAAAGUCGUAACAAGGUUUCCGUAGGUGAACCUGCGGAAGGAUCAUUAAAGCUUCGCCGACGCUGACCCCGGCCGCCCGGCUUGAGACAUAGCCUGGGCGGCAUUGGCUGGUCGCCGGCAGUUGGCCCAUUCUUGUCUACUGACCCAGUUGCCUCGGCGUGCCGUUCCCUAGUGGACGACCGGAAGCCCUAGGACCUAGUGUCCAUGCGGCCCUGGCCAGCGCACGCCGACGGACAGUCUAAAACUCUUUAUAUAAUGGCCGUCUGAGCGUAUAAAGCAAAUCAAUUAAAACUUUCAACAACGGAUCUCUUGGUUCCGGCAUCGAUGAAGAACGCAGCGAAAUGCGAUAAGUAAUGUGAAUUGCAGAAUUCCGUGAAUCAUCGAAUCUUUGAACGCACAUUGCGCCCCCUGGUAUUCCGGGGGGCAUGCCUGUUCGAGCGUCAUUGCAACCCUCAAGCUCGGCUUGUGUGAUGGGCGAACGUCCUACCCCUAGGGGCGGGACGCGUCCGAAAAGCAGUGGCUAGGCCGCGACUUCGGCGCCUGAGCGAAUGGGACUUCCACCGCUUCUAGGACCGGCCGGCACUUGGCCUUUAAUCAAAGUCCUCACGGACUCUUUAGGUUGACCUCGGAUCAGGUAGGGAUACCCGC
rnacentral:rRNA from 1 species